GAUGAAGAACGUAGCGAAAUGCGAUAAGUAAUGCGAAUUGCAGAAUUUCCGUGAGUCAUCGAAUCUUUGAACGCACAUUGCGCCCGCCAGUAUUCUGGCGGGCAUGCCUGUUCGAGCGUCAUUUCAACCAUCAAGCCCCCGGCUUGUGUUGGGGACCUGCGGCUGCCGCAGGCCCUGAAAUGCAGUGGCGGGCUCGCUGUCACUCCGAGCGUAGUAGUUACAUCUCGCUCUGGGCGUGCUGCGGGUUCCGGCCGUUAAAAGCCUUAUUUACCCAAGGUUGACCUCGGAUCAGGUAGGAAGACCCGCUGAACUUAAGCAUAUCAAUAAGCGGAGGA
rnacentral:misc_RNA from 1 species